GGUGUUGUGGUCUAGUGGGUAAGUCACCCGAUUGCAGAUCACAAGGUACAGGGUUCAAAUCCCAGCCCGGCACCA
rnacentral:tRNA from 1 species